rnacentral:rRNA from 1 species
AUUGAACGCUGGCGGCAUGCUUUACACAUGCAAGUCGAACGGUAACAGGUUAAGCUGACGAGUGGCGAACGGGUGAGUAAUGCAUCGGAACGUGCCCGAUCGUGGGGGAUAACGCAGCGAAAGCUGCGCUAAUACCGCAUACGAUCUGAGGAUGAAAGCGGGGGACCGUAAGGCCUCGCGCGAUCGGAGCGGCCGAUGUCGGAUUAGGUAGGUGGUGGGUUAAAGGCUCACCAAGCCAACGAUCUGUAGCUGGUCUGAGAGGACGACCAGCCACACUGGGACUGAGACACGGCCCAGACUCCUACGGGAGGCAGCAGUGGGGAAUUUUGGACAAUGGGCGAAAGCCUGAUCCAGCAAUGCCGCGUGCAGGAAGAAGGCCUUCGGGUUGUAAACUGCUUUUGUACGGAGCGAAAAGGCCCUCUCUAAUACAGGGGGCUCAUGACGGUACCGUAAGAAUAAGCACCGGCUAACUACGUGCCAGCCGCCGCUGUAACAC